CAAGUCGAACGAUGAAGCCCAGCUUGCUGGGUGGAUUAGUGGCGAACGGGUGAGUAACACGUGGGUGAUCUGCCCUGCACUUCGGGAUAAGCCUGGGAAACUGGGUCUAAUACCGGAUAGGACCGGCGGCCGCAUGGCUGUCGGUGGAAAGGUUUUCCGGUGCAGGAUGGGCCCGCGGCCUAUCAGCUUGUUGGUGGGGUAACGGCCCACCAAGGCGACGACGGGUAGCCGGCCUGAGAGGGCGACCGGCCACACUGGGACUGAGACACGGCCCAGACUCCUACGGGAGGCAGCAGUGGGGAAUAUUGCACAAUGGGCGCAAGCCUGAUGCAGCGACGCCGCGUGAGGGAUGACGGCCUUCGGGUUGUAAACCUCUUUCAGUACCGACGAAGCGCAAGUGACGGUAGGUACAGAAGAAGCACCGGCCAACUACGUGCCAGCAGCCGCGGUAAUACGUAGGGUGCGAGCGUUGUCCGGAAUUACUGGGCGUAAAGAGCUCGUAGGCGGUUUGUCGCGUCGUCUGUGAAAACCCGCAGCUCAACUGCGGGCUUGCAGGCGAUACGGGCAGACUUGAGUACUGCAGGGGAGACUGGAAUUCCUGGUGUAGCGGUGAAAUGCGCAGAUAUCAGGAGGAACACCGGUGGCGAAGGCGGGUCUCUGGGCAGUAACUGACGCUGAGGAGCGAAAGCGUGGGUAGCGAACAG
rnacentral:rRNA from 1 species